GGAGGAAGGGAGUAAAGUUAAUACCUUUGCUCAUUGACGUUAUCCGCAGAAGAAGCACCGGCUAACUCCGUGCCAGCAGCCGCGGUAAUACGGAGGGUGCAAGCGUUAAUCGGAAUUACUGGGCGUAAAGCGCACGCAGGCGGUUUGUUAAGUCAGAUGUGAAAUCCCCGGGCUCAACCUGGGAACUGCAUCUGAUACUGGCAAGCUUGAGUCUCGUAGAGGGGGGUAGAAUUCUAGGUGUAGCGGUGAAAUGCGUAGAGAUCUGGAGGAAUACCGGUGGCGAAGGCGGCCCCCUGGACGAAGACUGACGCUCAGGUGCGAAAGCGUGGGGAGCAAACAGGAUUAGAUACCCUGGUAGUCCACGCCGUAAACGAUGUCGACUUGGAGGUUGUGCCCUUGAGGCGUGGCUUCCGGAGCUAACGCGUUAAGUCGACCGCCUGGGGAGUACGGCCGCAAGGUUAAAACUCAAAUGAAUUGACGGGGGCCCGCACAAGCGGUGGAGCAUGUGGUUUAAUUCGAUGCAACGCGAAGAACCUUACCUGGUCUUGACAUCCACGGAAGUUUUCAGAGAUGAGAAUGUGCCUUCGGGAACCGUGAGACAGGUGCUGCAUGGCUGUCGUCAGCUCGUGUUGUGAAAUGUUGGGUUAAGUCCCGCAACGAGCGCAACCCUUAUCCUUUGUUGCCAGCGGUCCGGCCGGGAACUCAAAGGAGACUGCCAGUGAUAAACUGGAGGAAGGUGGGGACGACGUCAAGUCAUCAUGGCCCUUACGACCAGGGCUACACACGUGCUACAAUGGCGCAUACAAAGAGAAGCGACCUCGCGAGAGCAAGCGGACCUCAUAAAGUGCGUCGUAGUCCGGAUUGGAGUCUGCAACUCGACUCCAUGAAGUCGGAAUCGCUAGUAAUCGUGGAUCAGAAUGCCACGGUGAAUACGUUCCCGGGCCUUGUACACACCGCCCGUCACACCAUGGGAGUGGGUUGCAAAAGAAGUAGGUAGCUUAACCUUCGGGAGGGCGCUUACCACUUUGUGAUUCAUGACUGGGGUGAAGUCGUAACAAGGUAACCGUAGGGGAACCUGCGGUUGGAUCACCUCCUUACCUUAAAGAAGC
rnacentral:rRNA from 1 species